rnacentral:rRNA from 1 species
GGGUUGUGAGGUUAAGCGACUAAGCGUACACGGUGGAUGCCCUGGCAGUCAGAGGCGAUGAAGGACGUGCUAAUCUGCGAUAAGCGCCGGUAAGGUGAUAUGAACCGUUAUAACCGGCGAUUUCCGAAUGGGGAAACCCAGUGUGAUUCGUCACACUAUCAUUAACUGAAUCCAUAGGUUAAUGAGGCGAACCGGGGGAACUGAAACAUCUAAGUACCCCGAGGAAAAGAAAUCAACCGAGAUUCCCCCAGUAGCGGCGAGCGAACGGGGAGGAGCCCAGAGCCUGAAUCAGCAUGUGUGUUAGUGGAAGCGUCUGGAAAGGCGCGCGAUACAGGGUGACAGCCCCGUACACAAAAGCGCAUGUGCUGUGAGCUCGAUGAGUAGGGCGGGACACGUGGUAUCCUGUCUGAAUAUGGGGGGACCAUCCUCCAAGGCUAAAUACUCCUGACUGACCGAUAGUGAACCAGUACCGUGAGGGAAAGGCGAAAAGAACCCCGGCGAGGGGAGUGAAAAAGAACCUGAAACCGUGUACGUACAAGCAGUGGGAGCACAGGUUUACCUGUGUGACUGCGUACCUUUUGUAUAAUGGGUCAGCGACUUAUAUUCUGUAGCAAGGUUAACCGAAUAGGGGAGCCGGAGGGAAACCGAGUCUUAAUUGGGCGUUAAGUUGCAGGGUAUAGACCCGAAACCCGGUGAUCUAGCCAUGGGCAGGUUGAAGGUUGGGUAACACUAACUGGAGGACCGAACCGACUAAUGUUGAAAAAUUAGCGGAUGACCUGUGGCUGGGGGUGAAAGGCCAAUCAAACCGGGAGAUAGCUGGUUCUCCCCGAAAGCUAUUUAGGUAGCGCCUCGUGAAUUCAUCUCCGGGGGUAGAGCACUGUUUCGGCUAGGGGGCCAUCCCGGCUUACCAACCCGAUGCAAACUGCGAAUACCGGAGAAUGUUAUCACGGGAGACACACGGCGGGUGCUAACGUCCGUCGUGAAGAGGGAAACAACCCAGACCGCCAGCUAAGGUCCCAAAGUCAUGGUUAAGUGGGAAACGAUGUGGGAAGGCCCAGACAGCCAGGAUGUUGGCUUAGAAGCAGCCAUCAUUUAAAGAAAGCGUAAUAGCUCACUGGUCGAGUCGGCCUGCGCGGAAGAUGUAACGGGGCUAAACCAUGCACCGAAGCUGCGGCAGCGACACUGUGUGUUGUUGGGUAGGGGAGCGUUCUGUAAGCCUGUGAAGGUGUGUCGUGAGGCAUGCUGGAGGUAUCAGAAGUGCGAAUGCUGACAUAAGUAACGAUAAAGCGGGUGAAAAGCCCGCUCGCCGGAAGACCAAGGGUUCCUGUCCAACGUUAAUCGGGGCAGGGUGAGUCGACCCCUAAGGCGAGGCCGAAAGGCGUAGUCGAUGGGAAACGGGUUAAUAUUCCCGUACUUGGUGUUACUGCGAAGGGGGGACGGAGAAGGCUAUGUUGGCCGGGCGACGGUUGUCCCGGUUUAAGCGUGUAGGUGUGUGUUCCAGGUAAAUCCGGUUCACUUUAACACUGAGGCGUGAUGACGAGGCACUACGGUGCUGAAGCAACAAAUGCCCUGCUUCCAGGAAAAGCCUCUAAGCAUCAGGUAACAUCAAAUCGUACCCCAAACCGACACAGGUGGUCAGGUAGAGAAUACCAAGGCGCUUGAGAGAACUCGGGUGAAGGAACUAGGCAAAAUGGUGCCGUAACUUCGGGAGAAGGCACGCUGACACGUAGGUGAAGUGAUUUACUCAUGGAGCUGAAGUCAGUCGAAGAUACCAGCUGGCUGCAACUGUUUAUUAAAAACACAGCACUGUGCAAACACGAAAGUGGACGUAUACGGUGUGACGCCUGCCCGGUGCCGGAAGGUUAAUUGAUGGGGUCAGCGCAAGCGAAGCUCCUGAUCGAAGCCCCGGUAAACGGCGGCCGUAACUAUAACGGUCCUAAGGUAGCGAAAUUCCUUGUCGGGUAAGUUCCGACCUGCACGAAUGGCGUAAUGAUGGCCAGGCUGUCUCCACCCGAGACUCAGUGAAAUUGAACUCGCUGUGAAGAUGCAGUGUACCCGCGGCAAGACGGAAAGACCCCGUGAACCUUUACUAUAGCUUGACACUGAACAUUGAGCCUUGAUGUGUAGGAUAGGUGGGAGGCUUUGAAGUGUGGACGCCAGUCUGCAUGGAGCCGACCUUGAAAUACCACCCUUUAAUGUUUGAUGUUCUAACGUGGACCCGUUACCCGGGUUGCGGACAGUGUCUGGUGGGUAGUUUGACUGGGGCGGUCUCCUCCUAAAGAGUAACGGAGGAGCACGAAGGUUGGCUAAUCCUGGUCGGACAUCAGGAGGUUAGUGCAAUGGCAUAAGCCAGCUUGACUGCGAGCGUGACGGCGCGAGCAGGUGCGAAAGCAGGUCAUAGUGAUCCGGUGGUUCUGAAUGGAAGGGCCAUCGCUCAACGGAUAAAAGGUACUCCGGGGAUAACAGGCUGAUACCGCCCAAGAGUUCAUAUCGACGGCGGUGUUUGGCACCUCGAUGUCGGCUCAUCACAUCCUGGGGCUGAAGUAGGUCCCAAGGGUAUGGCUGUUCGCCAUUUAAAGUGGUACGCGAGCUGGGUUUAGAACGUCGUGAGACAGUUCGGUCCCUAUCUGCCGUGGGCGCUGGAGAACUGAGGGGGGCUGCUCCUAGUACGAGAGGACCGGAGUGGACGCAUCACUGGUGUUCGGGUUGUCAUGCCAAUGGCACUGCCCGGUAGCUAAAUGCGGAAGAGAUAAGUGCUGAAAGCAUCUAAGCACGAAACUUGCCCCGAGAUGAGUUCUCCCUGAGACUUUAAGUCUCCUGAAGGAACGUUGAAGACGACGACGUUGAUAGGCCGGGUGUGUAAGCGCAGCGAUGCGUUGAGCUAACCGGUACUAAUGAACCGUGAGGCUUAACCUUACAACGCCGAAG